UUUCCGGAUGGUUCCGCUGCUAGACAUCGCCCAGACUCUCCUACUAGGCGGUGUGACCCUGACUCUGUGCCGGGUCUGAGGAUGCCCUCCGUCGUCACCCCUUAUAACCUGUUACCCCCCUUGGGACUAGGUCGGUACGGCGCACACACUUCUUCCGGAAUACCAACAUUUCGUGAAAUUCGCUCCUCCUCCGAGGGCAUCAAUUAUGGAUGCCUCUCACCUGCAAUGAGCGUCUUAUUCGUGGCCGAUUGAGACACGGUCGUCGGCGCCAUUAUGUCUCCCACGCUCGCAAUUAGCCUAAAUGACCCGCAUUUCGCACGCAUCCGCCGAAAAAUUCAGCCUACACUUUAGGGGCUCGAAUUGAACCCUUAACGUAAGCUAUGACCCUUCGAUCUCAUACCCUCUCCUACCAUCUUAAGGUCCACAUCGCCACUUUACGCAUCUCUAGACCUCCUUAUGGCUACCGCUUCCGUCGGUAGACCGGAUUAUGACUGCGACUCCAUGCUUUCGUACCCCUCGUUUGUCCUAAUCUAUGGGACCAUCAGGUACGACAUUUGCUACAGAUGAUCGGCAACCCCGGAAACUCCGAAAUCACCGCGUCGAUUGCGCUAUUCAUCUGGCG
rnacentral:rRNA from 1 species